ACAUGAGAACCCUGGUUCACAGAUCUGCAUUUUUGUAUGAACGGUACAAAUAAAAUUGUGACUAGGAGAAAAUACAGUUAUUCAAAAAUUUUGUUUUAUCAAGUAAGAUCCUAAAAUACCUCAAACUGUUACAAUCAUUUCAUGAAAUAAGAAAGGAAGAUGUAAUCUCAGAAUUUAAAAAAAAUGUAAGUGUAGUUUUAUGGGAGAUCAUGCCAUUCUUAGUUUCCAUUAAAAACAGACAUUGUAAACCUUGUUGCAGAUAGUAACUGCCUUCUCCAUGGCCUGUGGAACCAAGAAUAUGUUCUUUUGGUGUAUAUAGAAAAUGCAGGAGAAAACAUUUGUAUUAAGGAAAGAUCAUGAACUCUCAGGUUUAGAGAUUUCGGAUUUUGAGGGCCUGUGGAAAGGUAAGAAAGAUGUGCCUCUUCUACAAAAAAAAAUUGGCAUUAGAGCCAUUCAUCCCCUGGGUGUUUUGUUUUACUUUUUGUGGGUACCACUCCUCACCAUACUCCCACAUUUGUAAAUCUAGUAGUAUCUCAUUUUUACUGCUUCCAAUAAAAUUAGGCUGUAUUCCUUGCAGAAUAUCUUCUGAAAUUUUUGUAGCUAUUGUGAUGAAUCAUUAGCUAGUGGAUUCUUUACAGAACAUUGGCCUGUGUUGAAUGGAAAGGCCUGCUGGCAUAUCCUCUAUACACAACACUCAAAUCCUAAAUACACUCUUGUCCUGACAAAUGAAUGGAGUGAUAUAAAAUGCUAUGAUAAGCAGACAUAACUGAUCAAGCAACAGAAGAUCCAAUAAAAUUGCCAAUCUAUUUGAUAUAUGCUAAUGGCAACUAUCUAAUUUUAUAUGUAUUUUCAUAAAAGACAGAAUCCAUUUUUACUAUGACUGUGAGGCAGGCAGAUGGUAUAUACAACUAUAUUUACUUUAUGAAAAGAAGGAAGGAAGAAAAAGGAAGAGAGGGAGGGAUGAAGAGAAUGAAGGAAAGGAUAAAAGAAAAACAUUAAUCCAUCAAAAAUAUAUCAAUAAUAGUAAUGAAAGUAUUCUUAGGUAUCAAUGAGUGUUCACCUAUGGUUAGUGGAGAUUGCACCAAUCAAUCUAAACAGGAAGUAGAGACAAUGUAAUUUCUAAAUCAAAAUAGGAUUUGGGGCAACAGAGUGACUAAAAUGAUCACUGCCAAAAUUAUUGACUUGUAUUUAAAUUUAUAUUUACUUACACUACUUUGCCAAUGUUAUAUAUCUGGAGAUGAGCAUUACAUUUAUUUCUAAAUAUUGACAUACAAAAGGCUGCUUCCCACUUCAGUGAGUGGUCUAUAUAUGAAAAUAUCAUUGGACAAGUAAUAUAAC
rnacentral:lncRNA from 1 species